rnacentral:rRNA from 1 species
CUACGGGUGGCUGCAGUGGGGAAUAUUGCACAAUGGAGGAAACUCUGAUGCAGCAACGCCGCGUGGAGGAUGACACUUUUCGGAGCGUAAACUCCUUUUAUACAGGAAGAAGAUGACGGUACUAUAUGAAUAAGCGCCGGCUAACUCCGUGCCAGCAGCCGCGGUAAUACGGAGGGCGCAAGCGUUACUCGGAAUCACUGGGCGUAAAGAGCGUGUAGGCGGAUUAAAAAGUCAGAAGUGAAAUCCUAUAGCUUAACUAUAGAACUGCUUCUGAAACUCUUAAUCUAGAAUAUGGGAGAGGUAGAUGGAAUUUCUGGUGUAGGGGUAAAAUCCGUAGAGAUCAGAAGGAAUACCGAUUGCGAAGGCGAUCUACUAGAACAUUAUUGACGCUGAGACGCGAAAGCGUGGGGAGCAAAUAGGAUUAGAUACCCUCGUAGUC